AUUGAACGCUGGCGGCAUGCCUUACACAUGCAAGUCGAACGGUAACAGGUCUUCGGAUGCUGACGAGUAGCGAACGGGUGAGUAAUACAUCGGAACGUGCCCGAGAGUGGGGGAUAACGAGGCGAAAGCUUUGCUAAUACCGCAUACGAUCUCAGGAUGAAAGCAGGGGACCGCAAGGCCUUGCGCUCACGGAGCGGCCGAUGGCAGAUUAGGUAGUUGGUGGGAUAAAAGCUUACCAAGCCGACGAUCUGUAGCUGGUCUGAGAGGACGACCAGCCACACUGGGACUGAGACACGGCCCAGACUCCUACGGGAGGCAGCAGUGGGGAAUUUUGGACAAUGGGCGCAAGCCUGAUCCAGCCAUGCCGCGUGCAGGAUGAAGGCCUUCGGGUUGUAAACUGCUUUUGUACGGAACGAAAAGACUCCUUCUAAUAAAGGGGGUUCAUGACGGUACCGUAAGAAUAAGCACCGGCUAACUACGUGCCAGCAGCCGCGGUAACAC
rnacentral:rRNA from 1 species